CUUCGGUUCAUCCUCUCUGACAACCGAAGGAACGCUCGUCUUCCUCUCCCUGUCAUCCCUCCUCUUCCGCUUCAGAACAGCCGUCUCUUCUGUUCCUCAGGGCCUCCUCUGAGUUCUGAAGGACACCAAGAGCCCCAGCGCCGACCCCCAGGUGCCCAGAGCCGAGCCGGCCCGAGUGCUGCCCUCCCCUGCCCGGGAAGCUCUAUUCCCUGUGACCGUGAGUCCCCGGAUGGUGCCAGCAACCAGGAGAGGGAAGGCGGUUGCCACCCGGCAGCCCCCAUCACCAUAGCAACUCUCAAAAUGGUUACUCAGCCAUCUGGGUUACCACAGCAACUAGCAAAGCACUCUCCACUUCACUCUCUCUCAGCCUCCCAGCGAGCCAUUUCCUAUUCCUUGCUGAAUGUGCAGGGAGUCUUGUUCCAUCUCUAACCUCCAAAUCGGCAGAGAGCGGCCCCCCGGGAACCAAUACCCAUAAUUCCCUGAGCCCUGAGCGUCUCCUUCAAGCAUCCAGCACCCAAUCCGAGAGCAGAGAACAAGAAAAGGGCGGGGGCUCCAGAGCUGCAGGCCCUCUCUGGACAUCUAGGAGGAGACGGGAAACCUAGAAAAUGUCCUGACAGUCGGCGAGACGAAACAGGCAAAUCAUAGAGUCAAAUUAAAAGCCGCUCUUUAUGGCAA